GCAACAUUAAAGCCGGAGCCGGAACAUAACACGAAGAAGAAGAAGAGCUUCGCUAACUGGGUAUUGCUAAACACGCGAGACCACGUUGAAGGCGGAGGAGGGGUGUGCGUUUUUCCGUGUCUUUGCACACAGGAUGACACUGCAGGAGCUGACUUGAACCGUCUCAUCAUGGAGGAGGCCCCAUCCUGAAACACACAGACUUCCAUGUGGCAAAACAUGUAUUGAAAUGUAGAAAUGCAGGAAUCCUCACACAGACAUCGGUAUGACCAACCUCCAGGCUGAGAAGAGCAGCCAGAGGACGGGCAAGCAGUGACCAUUUCCAAAGCAGGACUGUGAGAAACGGCUUCACUUUUGGUAACUAUGAUCACACUCUAUGAUCUUUUUAACUGAAACAUUUUUCCAUCAUGUAAAGUUUGAUUUUGUGCCAGAAACUAUUUCAUUUGAUGAUUUCUGUGGAUGUGAAAUGUACCUCUUCUCAAAAAAUAAACUUAUAAUUGCCUUAAAA